rnacentral:rRNA from 1 species
AACACAUGCAAGUCGAGUGCGCGUUUCCGUAGCAAUACGGAAAUGGCGCACGGCGCACGGGUGCGUAACACGUGGGUAAUCUGCCCUCUGAUGGGGAAUAACUCGCCGAAAGGCGAGCUAAUUCCGCAUAACAUUCCUUGGACUCCGGUUCGAGGAUUCAAAGGCGUAAGUCGUCGGAGGAGGAGCCCGCGCACGAUUAGCUAGUUGGUAGGGUAAUGGCCUACCAAGGCUUUGAUCGUUAGCUGGUCUGAGAGGAUGGCCAGCCACACUGGAACUGAGACACGGUCCAGACUCCUACGGGAGGCAGCAGUGGGGAAUCUUGCACAAUGGGCGAAAGCCUGAUGCAGCGACGCCNCGUGGGGGAUGAAGCUUCUCGGAGUGUAAACCCCUUUCGACCGGGACGAAUACCUCGCAAGAGGGGUGACGGUACCGGUAUAA